rnacentral:rRNA from 1 species
AUUGAACGCUGGCGGCAGGCCUAACACAUGCAAGUCGAGCGGAUGAAGGGAGCUUGCUCCUGGAUUCAGCGGCGGACGGGUGAGUAAUGCCUAGGAAUCUGCCUGGUAGUGGGGGAUAACGUCCGGAAACGGGCGCUAAUACCGCAUACGUCCUGAGGGAGAAAGUGGGGGAUCUUCGGACCUCACGCUAUCAGAUGAGCCUAGGUCGGAUUAGCUAGUUGGUGGGGUAAAGGCCUACCAAGGCAACGAUCCGUAACUGGUCUGAGAGGAUGAUCAGUCACACUGGAACUGAGACACGGUCCAGACUCCUACGGGAGGUAGCAGUGGGGAAUAUUGGACAAUGGGCGAAAGCCUGAUCCAGCCAUGCCGCGUGUGUGAAGAAGGUCUUCGGAUUGUAAAGCACUUUAAGUUGGGAGGAAGGGCAGUAAGUUAAUACCUUGCUGUUUUGACGUUACCAACAGAAUAAGCACCGGCUAACUUCGUG